CACGUAGGGCGCAAGCGUUGUCCGGAAUUAUUGGGCGUAAAGAGCUCGUAGGCGGACUGUCACGUCUGCUGUGAAAAGCUAGGGCUUAACCCUGGCCUUGCAGUGGAUACGGGCAGACUAGAGGUAGGUAGGGGAGAAUGGAAUUCCCGGUGUAGCGGUGAAAUGCGCAGAUAUCGGGAGGAACACCGGUGGCGAAAGCGGCUCACUGGACCGCAACUGACGCUGAGACGCGAAAGCGUGGGGAGCAAACAGG
rnacentral:rRNA from 1 species